AGUGAACGCUGGCGGCGUGCCUAAUACAUGCAAGUCGAACGAAGUGGCGCACGGGUGAGUAAUAUAGUUAAUCUGCCCUACACAGAGGAACAACAGUUGGAAACAGACGCCAAUACCUAAUAGUGUAGGAUGUGACUAUAUCGUAUCAGCUAGUUGGUAAGGUAAUGGCUUACCAAGCCUAUGACCCGUAACUGGUCUCAGAGGAUGAUCAGUCACAUUGGAACUGAGGCACCAGCCGAACACCUACAGGAGGCAGCAGUAAGGAAUAGUGCGCAAGGGGCGAAACCCUGACGCAGCAUCGCCGCGUGAAGGAUGGCACUUUUGGGAGCAUAAACUCCUUUUAUCAGGAAAGCGGUACCUGAUGAAUAAGCACCGGCUAACUCCGUGCCAGCAGCCGCGGUAAUAC
rnacentral:rRNA from 1 species